UUUAGGAUCAUUUUCAGAUGGUUUAGGACCAUGAGUCCUUGGCAUCCCCAGAGCUUCACUCUGGACGAGUGGAAAUGAUGAAGACAAUGAAGGUAGCAAUCCGGACAUCGCUUAUAUCAACAAUUCCACAGAUUUGAGGCUUAAGACUAGCGAUUCCCAGAUAUUGCUUCUAAGGAGUGGUUGGUCUCAAGAAAGAAUUUAAAACCUGAGCAGAAAAAAAAAUACUUACGCUUUC